rnacentral:rRNA from 1 species
GACGAACGCUGGCGGCGUGCUUAACACAUGCAAGUCGAACGGAAAGGCCCUGCUUUUGUGGGGUGCUCGAGUGGCGAACGUGUGAGUAACACGUGAGUAACCUGCCCUUGACUUUGGUAUAACUUCAGGAAACUGGGUCUAAUACCGGAUAGGAGCUCCUGCUGCAUGGGGGGGGUUGGAGAGUUUCGGCGGUUGGGGAUGGACUCGCGGCUUAUCAGCUUGUUGGUGGGGUAGUGGCUUACCAAGGCUUUGACGGGUAGCCGGCCUGAGAGGGUGACCGGCCACAUUGGGACUGAGAUACGGCCCAGACUCCUACGGGAGGCAGCAGUGGGGAAUAUUGCACAAUGGGCGGAAGCCUGAUGCAGCAACGCCGCGUGCGGGAUGACGGCCUUCGGGUUGUAAACCGCUUUCGCCUGUGACGAAGCGUGAGUGACGGUAAUGGGUAAAGAAGCACCGGCUAACUACGUG